ensembl:miRNA
AUCCGGCUCGAAGGACCAUAAAAUGGAGAGAAUGUUGUCUCCAGGAGUUUAGCUGAUUUA